rnacentral:rRNA from 1 species
GAGUUUGAUCAUGGCUCAGGACGAACGCUGGCGGCGUGCUUAACACAUGCAAGUCGAACGAAGAGCGAUGGAAGCUUGCUUCUAUCAAUCUUAGUGGCGAACGGGUGAGUAACGCGUAAUCAACCUGCCCUUCAGAGGGGGACAACAGUUGGAAACGACUGCUAAUACCGCAUACGAUCUAAACUCGGCAUCGAGGAUAGAUGAAAGGUGGCCUCUACAUGUAAGCUAUCACUGAAGGAGGGGAUUGCGUCUGAUUAGCUAGUUGGAGGGGUAACGGCCCACCAAGGCGAUGAUCAGUAGCCGGUCUGAGAGGAUGAACGGCCACAUUGGGACUGAGACACGGCCCAGACUCCUACGGGAGGCAGCAGUGGGGAAUCUUCCGCAAUGGACGAAAGUCUGACGGAGCAACGCCGCGUGAGUGAUGACGGCCUUCGGGUUGUAAAGCUCUGUUAAUCGGGACGAAAGGCCUUCUUGCGAAUAGUGAGAAGGAUUGACGGUACCGGAAUAGAAAGCCACGGCUAACUACGUGCCAGCAGCCGCGGUAAUACGUAGGUGGCAAGCGUUGUCCGGAAUUAUUGGGCGUAAAGCGCGCGCAGGCGGAUAGGUCAGUCUGUCUUAAAAGUUCGGGGCUUAACCCCGUGAUGGGAUGGAAACUGCCAAUCUAGAGUAUCGGAGAGGAAAGUGGAAUUCCUAGUGUAGCGGUGAAAUGCGUAGAUAUUAGGAAGAACACCAGUGGCGAAGGCGACUUUCUGGACGAAAACUGACGCUGAGGCGCGAAAGCCAGGGGAGCGAACGGGAUUAGAUACCCCGGUAGUCCUGGCCGUAAACGAUGGGUACUAGGUGUAGGAGGUAUCGACCCCUUCUGUGCCGGAGUUAACGCAAUAAGUACCCCGCCUGGGGAGUACGACCGCAAGGUUGAAACUCAAAGGAAUUGACGGGGGCCCGCACAAGCGGAGGAACAUGUGGUUUAAUUCGAUGAUACGCGAGGAACCUUACCCGGGCUUGAAUUGCAGUCGCUGCCCACAGAGACGUGGGCUUCCCUUCGGGGCGUCUGUGAAGGUGCUGCAUGGUUGUCGUCAGCUCGUGCCGUGAGGUGUCGGCUUAAGUGCCAUAACGAGCGCAACCCCCUUUCCCAGUUGCCAUCGGGUGAUGCCGGGCACUCUGGGGACACUGCCACCGCAAGGUGCGAGGAAGGUGGGGAUGACGUCAAAUCAGCACGGCCCUUACGUCCGGGGCUACACACGUGUUACAAUGGCCGGUACAGAGGGACGGUGCAAUGCAAGUUGCAUCCAAUCUUGAAAUCCGGUCCCAGUUCGGACUGGGGUCUGCAACCCGACCCCACGAAGCUGGAUUCGCUAGUAAUCGCGCAUCAGCCAUGGCGCGGUGAAUACGUUCCCGGGCCUUGUACACACCGCCCGUC